CCUACGGGUGGCAGCAGUGGGGGAUAUUGCACAAUGGGGGGAACCCUGAUGCAGCGACGCCGCGUGGGUGAAGGCGCGUUUCGGCGCGUAAAGCCCCAUCGGCAGGGAAGAAGAUAACGGUACCUGGCCAAGAAGCCCCGGCUAACUACGUGCCAGCAGCCGCGGUCACACGUAGGGGGCAAGCGUUAUCCGGAUUUACUGGGUGUAAAGGGGGCGCAGACGGCAAUGCAAGCCAGGGGUGAAAGCCCGGGGCCCAACCCCGGGACUGCUCUUGGAAAUGCAUGGCUGGAGUACAGGAGGGGCAGGCGGAAUUGCUGGUGUAGCGGUGAAAUGCGUAGAGAUUAGGAGGAACACCGGUGGCGAAGGCGGCCUGCUGGACUGUGACUGACGUUGAGGCCCGAAGGCGUGGGGAGCAAACAGGAUUAGAUACCCGGGUAGUC
rnacentral:rRNA from 1 species